GCCUACGGGAGGCAGCAGUGAGGAAUAUUGGUCAAUGGCCGAGAGGCUGAACCAGCCAAGUCGCGUGAGGGAAGACGGCCCUACGGGUUGUAAACCUCUUUUGUCGGGGAGCAAAGCGAACCACGUGUGGUUCAUUGAGAGUACCCGAAGAAAAAGCAUCGGCUAACUCCGUGCCAGCAGCCGCGGUAAUACGGAGGAUGCGAGCGUUAUCCGGAUUUAUUGGGUUUAAAGGGUGCGCAGGCGGAGGUGCAAGUCAGUGGUCAAAUUGCGGGGCUCAACCUCGUACUGCCGUUGAAACUGCAUCC
rnacentral:rRNA from 1 species